UACAGAGGGUGCGAGCGUUGUCCGGAAUCACUGGGCGUAAAGGGCGCGUAGGUGGCGCCGCAAGUCGGUGGUGAAAGCUCGAUGCUCAACAUCGAGUCGGCCAUCGAAACUGCGGGGCUGGAGCACUGUAGGGGCAGAUGGAAUUCCGGGUGUAGCGGUGGAAUGCGUGGAGAUCCGGAGGAACACCAGUGGCGAAGGCGGCCCCCUGGGCCGCGCCUGACGCUGAGACGCGAAAGCGCGGGGAGCGAACGGG
rnacentral:rRNA from 1 species